ensembl:lncRNA
CCAGGUCCCACAGUCUGAGGGACCCAUCCUUAGUGGGUGGGGGUGAGCUAGGGUGGGGCCUGGCUGACGAUACGACAGUGUUGAUGGCCUUUUCUGCUUUCACAUCUCGAAGCUUGGACAAGUGAUGAACUUGGGGAAUGUUUGCUCAAUGAACACAGAUUUUAUGGGACUAAGUUGAAAUGCACCCCCCACCCCUUACUCCAUACUCUGACUCACAGGACCCCAAGCAGUGCUCAGUGAAGGGAUGCCCAACAAGAAGAGAGGAAGAAGGCAGCCUUUGCCUCAAGAUGCAGGAUUAUCUGCUUCCAACAUCUGCUGCCAUUGCUGGCUCUGGCCGCUGUCCCAUUUUCCUCUCAGAGCCCUCCUGGAGGCACAGGCUCCUCAGGCUCUCUGGAGCAGGUGGAAAGAACCCAUGGCUCUUCAGUCUCGAAUCCCCGUCUCUCUGCUGCCCCCUAGUGGACAUUGACGGCGCUGUCCUGAGGGAAGACUAGGUGUUUAACUUGGUGUGUUCGUGUGUUCAGAAAGGUAAUUUCUUCCUUUAGACUUCAAAGCAAGUUUGCCCUAGUUCCCGUGUGGCUCAGCAGGUUAAGGAUCCGGCAAUUGUCACUGCAGUGACUCGGGUCGAUCCCUGGCCCUGGGAACUUCCACAUGCCGCAGGAGCAGCCAAAAAAACAAACAAAAAACCAAAGGAAGUUUGAUAUCUAAGGAUCCUUAUGGUUGAUUCUUGGAUAGAGUCAACAACAAAUUUCUUCCCCUUCCUCCCACAGAACUGGGAAAUUUUUUCCCAUAUUAGCUUGCUUGAAGCAGCACUGGUAUUACAAGAGGAGCAGUUUAUCUUCUUGAUAUUGAUGAUUGAUGAUGCUCUGUUUUUACAGGUGUGAUGAGCUUUGACUCCAACACAUUUCUGCAAACCUGCUUACCCCACUGGUUAAGGCAAGCACUGCCCUCACACAUCCUCAGUGAUGGGGAUAACCUGUCAGUUCCUCAAAUUCUCUCUCCCUCCCUCUCUCUCUCUCACACAGUUUGGUGUGAAAAGCUUGUGUAACAGCAGAGACCGUGUCUGUUUUGCUCACAGCUCUAUUUCUGGUGCCCAUCACAGGGUUUGGCACAUAGUAGGUGCUCAGUCCAUGUGUGCGGAAUGAGUAAUGCCCUCAUAGCCAUCAGGUGGCCAUGUUGCCCCCACCCCUGCUCCACCCUCCCCCUCUACAGAAGCUGUGAGAAGUGAAAGGGCAACCAGAGAAGGGGGCGGGGCGGUUUUGUGCUGGGCGCUGCCUGUACAAAGCUAAAUGUGAUGUAUCCUGGAGAGAAAAUUUUUUUUUUCUUUAAAGGGGAAAAAUGAAAGUAAGGGAGGGCACGGCUGCUGGUAACAGGGGGCGGGCGGGUAAGAGAAGGUCAGGACACCUAUCUGGUUCCGCUGGUGGGAGGUCAGCAAGACCAAAGAGAGAGGCAACAGUUCCGAAGCCGAGUUCUGGAAACGACAAAGCUGCUAGA